AAUUCUCUGACGAGUUGAAAAGUUCAUUUUUCAUUGCACUGUGCAACUAAUAAAGUGGACACUCGUCUCAGACAACUCCCCACUCCAUCAAAUCAACAUCACAUCGCUGGAGCUGUGUAGUGACUGCGACGGUUUGAAGUGGGCAGGGGAGAGGUCGUAGCUCUGUCGGACUUUUGGGACAAUGAGUUUGGCUUUGAGGUUUGGGCGUCAGGGUCUGAGGGGAUUAAAUGAAGGGCUUGUUGGGGGGUUGAGGUGGACUAGAGAGGUCCUGGUUCCCUCUUGGCUGGAGAAGGUGUCUAUUCUUUCCACAGUUUGGACAUUUCAUUUGUUUCUGUGUUUCUGAGUGGUGUCAUCAUUAAAAG